rnacentral:rRNA from 1 species
CACGUAGGGCGCAAGCGUUGUCCGGAAUUAUUGGGCGUAAAGAGCUCGUAGGCGGUCUGUUGCGUCCGCUGUGAAAACUCGGGGCUUAACCCCGAGCCUGCAGUGGAUACGGGCAGACUAGAGGUAGGUAGGGGAGAAUGGAAUUCCCGGUGUAGCGGUGAAAUGCGCAGAUAUCAGGAAGAACACCGGUGGCGAAGGCGGCUCUCUGGGCCUUACCUGACGCUGAGGAGCGAAAGCGUGGGUAGCGAACAGG